rnacentral:lncRNA from 1 species
GUUUUUUGCCUUGGCAGUGGUGUUCCGUGGGCGGCAUUAUAUGGGGGUAUUUUGUGUGCGUGUGUGUUUUGAACGGUGGAAGCCUUGGGUGACCCUUAUCUCACAGAGCUGCUUAAGCAUUCAGUAAUAGCCCAUCCAGUGGCUUUCUGCAAAUAAACACCUGCUUGUAGAGAGUUUAACCCAGGGACGCCGCGCCGUGGAGCAGAGGGCGUGCUUAAUGGACACUUAGUGCGCAGCCGAAAAGGAGUCCGUUACAGCUGGAAGCUGACAGCUCCUCAUUGUCAGGAGAGUGGGGCUGGCUGCAAAGGGAGGGCGUGUGUCCCGCCUGACUGCUGGGGAGGGGGCUGCUCCUUGAGGCCCCUCCUCCCAGGGGUGGGGGUGGGGGCGGGGAGGCUCCUGGACUGGGCCGGUUUAGUCCUCAGACCAUCCUUUGCCUACUCCCCCUCCUCCUCCUUCAUUUUCCAAAGAGUCUAUGGAUACCCACAAAAACUUUUCUCCUCUUCCUCCUCCUCCCCCUCCCCCUCCCCCUUUUCCUCUCCCUCCUCCCCUCCUCCCCCUAGCAGAUUGGCGCAGAGUUCACCCAGGAAAACUUUUCUCCUCCUCCUCCUCCCCCUGCUCCCCGUCCUGGUCUCCAGAGUGGGGAGCUGGCCUUUCCCACCCAUUUUGCUGAGGACCCGCGAGGCGCUUGCAGGCAGCUUAGCUGGGAUCAGGGUCCCCAGUGGGUGUGCUGUGGAGCUCAGGUUUCUACCAAGAAUGCUUUGUCCCCUCCCCCGUGAGUCCCUGCCUGCCCUGAGCUGGACUUGGCCCAGCUUCUGUAGGAGGCCCUGCAGGGCCCUUGAAAGGCUUGGGGGGCCAGCGCCGCGGCUCACUAGGCUGAUCCUCCACCUUGUGGCGCCGGCACACCGGGUUCUAGUCCCGGUCGGGGCGCCGGAUUCUGUCCCGGUUGCCCCUCUUCCAGGCCAGCUCUCUGCUGUGACCAGGGAGUGCAGUGGAGGAUGGCCCAAGUCCUUGGGCCCUGCACAUGUAUGGGAGACCAGGAGAAGCACCUGGCUCCUGCCAUCGGAUCAGCGCAGUGCGCCGGCUGUAGCAUGCCGGCCGCGGCGGCCAUUGGAGGGUGAACCAACGGCAAAGGAAGACCUUUUUCUCUGUGUUUCUCUCUCACUGUCCACUCUGCCUGUAAAAAAAAAAAAAAAAAAGGCUUGGGGACAUCACCCUAGGACACUAGGCUACUGUAGUCAGGGGCUGCCGCUGGGCCCCUCAUCUGCCUGUCAGGACCAGUUCUGCAGCCAUACUUGGCAUAGAGGGGGAGGCCAAGCCCUGGCCAUCAGCUGAGCAGCGUGAAGGGGCCUGGGAGGGUCUCGGGCUGGCCGAGGACCACCUGGUUGUUGCCUCAAUGCGAGGGCAACAUACUAAUUCAUGUGAUGAUGGUUUGGGUUCCUGCCUUGCACCAGGCACCGUGGGUGUGCCAGG